rnacentral:rRNA from 1 species
UACGAAGGGUGCAAACGUUGCUCGGAAUUAUUGGGCGUAAAGCGCACGUAGGCGGCUUAGCAAGUCGGAAGUGAAAGCCCUCGGCUCAACCAAGGAAGUGCUUUCGAAACUGCUGAGCUUGAGUAGUUAAGAGGAUCGCGGAAUUCCCGGUGUAGAGGUGAAAUUCGUAGAUAUCGGGAGGAACACCAGUGGCGAAGGCGGCGAUCUGGGAACAUACUGACGCUGAGGUGCGAAAGCGUGGGAGCAACAGG